GCGGCGAGUGAAGCGGCAAAAGCUCAAAUUUGAAAUCUGGCGCCUUCGGUGUCCGAGUUGUAAUUUGAAGAUUGUAACCUUGGGGUUGGCUCUUGUCUAUGUUUCUUGGAACAGGACGUCACAGAGGGUGAGAAUCCCGUGCGAUGAGAUGCCCAAUUCUAUGUAAGGUGCUUUCGAAGAGUCGAGUUGUUUGGGAAUGCAGCUCUAAGUGGGUGGUAAAUUCCAUCUAAAGCUAAAUAUUGGCGAGAGACCGAUAGCGAACAAGUACAGUGAUGGAAAGAUGAAAAGAACUUUGAAAAGAGAGUGAAAAAGUACGUGAAAUUGUUGAAAGGGAAGGGUUUGAGAUCAGACUCGAUAUUUUGUGAGCCUUGCCUUCG
rnacentral:rRNA from 1 species